rnacentral:rRNA from 1 species
GACGAAGGAUGCAAGCGUUAUCCGGAUUCAUUGGGUUUAAAGGGAGCGUAGGUGGCCUGCUAAGUCAGCGGUGAAAUCUCUGGGCUUAACCCAGAAAUUGCCAUUGAUACUGGUGGGCUUGAGUGCAGUUGCUGUUGGCGGAAUAUGACAUGUAGUGGUGAAAUACAUAGAGAUGUCAUAGAACACCGAUUGCGAAGGCAGCUAACAAAACUGUAACUGACACUGAGGCUCGAAAAGUGUGGGGGAUCAAACAGG